rnacentral:lncRNA from 1 species
GUUCAUUUAGGUGUUUAAACUCUCUAUUGAACAUAGUGUAAGAAAGCUACAAGAACAAAUUUGGACCACGAAAGCGGAUGUGGCCACUGGCCAAACACGUCCUCAACUUGGCCCACUCAAGGUACUAAAUAUUAGCCGAUAUGUAUCUAAAUUUUGACAUUUUGAUAUGAAUAUUUUAGUAAAUAUCAAUCCAGACAGUCUGAUAUAAGCCGAUACAAGGCUAUAUUACCGAUACAAUUACUGAUACUGCGAUUUAGGCUGUCCAUUUAACCAACUCUAUAAUUGAAAAAGAGGAGAAGAAGAAAAAAAAACGUAAAAGAAUAGUGGCAAUGCUGUUAUGUCUAGAAGUUCACUCAAAGGGAGAGAACACAAGAAAUUUCCAUCUCCAUCGCAGAACCUAUUUCUUUGAUGGCAUAUCUACACUAAGUUCUAUAGUAAAGUGUUUUGAGUUCACACCUCUUUAGAGUUUCUGAAAAAUAAAAAUGCCACCUGGCUUUUUUUUAGAUCUCCUCUCUCAUAAGAAAGAAUUGCUAAAUAAUGAACUAAAAAUAAAACACUACGUGGAUGUUUGAUAACUGUUUUAUUUUAAUUUUUUUAUUUUUAUUUUGUUUAAUUUAUAAAUAAAAAUAGAAAACUUGUUUGUGUUGCAAAAAAUAAAUAAAAAUAAAGCAAAAUUAAUUGCACUAUUUUUGAAAAUAGUAAAAACAAGAAAAAGUUAUUUUUGUUUUGUUUACAAAAAAAUUUGGAUGAAUUUUUUUUGUAAAUUUUUCCAAUCACCUCAACCGCCUCCGCCUCCGCCUCCUUCACCACCACCACCACCGCCGCCGCCACCAUCUUUUUUUAAAAUAAUUUAAAAAUAGGUGAACACAAAUAUAUUUUUGUGUAAAAAUAAUUUAAAAAUAGGUGAACACAAACAUAUUUUUAGUUUCUGUUUUACAAAAAACAAAACAAAAGAAAAUAAAAAUUAAACAAAUACAAAAAAAAAUAGAAAAGUAAAAGUAAGAAAAGUUAUUUUUGUUUUGUUUAAAAAAAAAAAAUUCAUCCAAAUUUUUUCAAUCACCUCCGCCAUCACCUUCGCCACCACCAGCGCCACUUUCAUCUCCGCUACCAUCACCUCCUCCACCGCCACCGCUACUUUUUUUUUUAAAUAGUUUCAGAAAAUGUGAACACAAAUAUAUUUUUAUUUUUAAAUAUUUUAAAAAUAGGUGAACACAAACAUAUUUUUUAUUUUUAUUUUAUAAAAAACAAAACAAAACAAAAAUUAAAUAAACACAAAAAAUAGAAAAAUAAAAACGUUAUCAAACAUCCUCUACGUGUUCCAAACCAGUCAAAUCGCUACGCAUCCGAAUGACCCAUAGUCAAUUUCUAGGGUUUUCAUUUCAGCUGCAUACCCAUGGGUGAAUGGAUGAUCUAAGAGAUGUGAAUGGCUCGGGUUUUCAUUUCUCGGGGUUAUCGGCUUGAAUUUUUUGCUUUUUAUUAACCAGGUUAUUAGAUUUAUUUUGAUUGUCAUGUUUUUUAUUUCUUAUUUUCCAGCUGUGUAUUAUAACUGAGUUAUGUAUAUUUUGCUGAAAUGAAGAAAUGAACAACAUCUGAAAUGAAGAAAUGAACAACAUUAGAAGAAUAUGGAACAUGUUGAAUUUGUAGAGUCCAUGAGCCAGGUCCCUUUUCAUGGACUGGGGCUAGAUCCAUUUUCUCUGCUACUCAUUCUGCAGGUGGAGUUCACCAUAUAAAUAAAUAAUUAAGGCCCCGUUUGGCCCAAAAAAGUUUUUGAGAUAUUUUAGUUGCUUUGAUUUUUGAGAUUUUUUCGCUUCUAGUAAAUUUUUUUAAUCGUUUGAUCAAAAUUUUAUAUUUUGUUGUUCUUUUUAACGAGAAAAGUCUGAAAAUAUAAAAAUCUUUAUCUAAUUUAGAAAGAUGUUCACGAAAGUGAAAAAAGUAACACUUUUUUACUUGAUAAAUUAGCUAAAUUUUUAUCUUUUAAUAGAUUUCUUAUUCCAAAUUUAAACAAUCUUUUUUCAUUUUCGGAUUUUCUCGUCAAUAAGAAAAGAAAAAGUAUAUUUUUUUUCUUAAACAGAGAAAAAGUUCACAAAAAGAUGGAAAAAUUUCAAAAUCAAGCACCUAAAAAUCUAGAUUGUAUGAAUCUAUAAUAAAAACUGUUAAAACAAUUUUUAAUUAAAAAUAAUAUAUUUCUUCUUUUAAAAUGGAGAACUGGAUCGAAGAUUCUUAUAAGUAGCUUCGAACUUAUUUCAUCUAAUACCAUCAUACACAAAAAGUUACGUACAUGUUUGGCAAAAUUUUAAAGCAUCAACUUCUGCUUUUUAGUUUUAAAAUUUGUUUCAAAAUGUUUAAUAAAACUUCUGUUUAUGGAUUAAAAAUAAUUUAUAAAGCUAAAAAAGAGUUGAUUUUUGAAAGUUUUAUUUUAAAAAAUUUUAACUUCUAUUUUUAAGUAAAUAAUUUUAACAUAAGUUGAGCUAUUAUGCUAAACACACUCUAUACACAAUUU